GACCGCGUGGCUCAGUUGGCAGAGCAUUGGGCUGGUAUUCCAAAGGUCGUAGGUUCGAUUCCCACCGUGGUCA